rnacentral:ncRNA from 1 species
AAUAGCGCAAGUACCCACGAGGGCAGUCGUAUGGGUAGACGAGGUGAAGGGUUAUCGAAUCAUCAGCGGAUGCUCUUCCGGUUAGCUCGAAUCGUGACAGGCAUUAAAAAUACCUUUGGUAACAGAGGGGACAAAAUGUGU